rnacentral:misc_RNA from 1 species
UACGGAGGGUGCAAGCGUUAAUCGGAAUUACUGGGCGUGGAGCGCGCGUAGGCGGCUUGAUAAGGCGGUUGUGAAAGCCCCGGGCUCAACCUGGGGACGGCAUCCGGAACGGGUUAGCUAGAGUGCAGGAGAGGAAGGUAGAAUUCCCGGUGUAGCGGUGAAAUGCGUAGAGAUCGGGAGGAAUACCAGUGGCGAAGGCGGCCUUCUGGACUGACACUGACGCUGAGGUGCGAAAGCGUGGGUAGCAAACAGG